GACGGAGGGUGCAAGCGUUGUUCGGAAUUACUGGGCGUAAAGGGCGCGUAGGCGGUCUGUUAAGUUCGGUGUGAAAGCCCCCGGCUCACCUGGGGAACUGCGCCGGAAACCGACAGACUCGAGUCCGGAAGAGGAGUGUGGAAUUCCUGGUGUAGCGGUGAAAUGCGCAGAUAUCGGGAGGAACACCGGUGGCGAAGGCGGUUCUCUGGGCCUGUGCUGACGCUGAGACACGAAAGCGUGGGGAGCGAACAGG
rnacentral:rRNA from 1 species